AUUUCAACUGAAUAACAUUAUCCUUGUUGAUUUAACUGUCCAACGUCUAUUCCAACCUUGAUUGUUCAAGAUAAAUCGUUCAAUGAUAGAUUAUCCAUCUAGUUUCAAUAAGAUAAUACACUUAUAUUUGUAAUGAUCGUGCCUACACUCAUGUUAACAUCAGGAUCAGAGGAAGCAUUGAAAUGUUUACAAGACCAUCGGACGAAGGACAUCUGAUCUUAUUUGAAAUAUUUUAUUGCAUUUGUGAUGCUCAAGUUUGGCCAUAUGAAGUGGAUUCCAUUAGUUUUGGGCAAUCCAUCGAUUCACCUUAGCCCAGUUUUUUUUCUAACGAGAAAAUUCGCUGGAAGCUUGAGGCUAGGUUAAUUAAGAUUUUCCGGUAUUUGAUCGUGAAUACCCUUCAUAGAUAGCCAUGAAGGAGUAUAUAUUCUUGAACAUUGUCUCCCUCGACGUGACCAGAGCAUAUUUAUCUCCAUUUUAAGCCCCUUUCACUAGACUCCCUCUAAAAGGCAACCCUUUAUAUAAUUACAGCUGCCUCGUUCAAAUCUCCAGAUGAUCUUCUGACUUGAAUUGAUUUACAGUAAACCUUUCAACAUUGUUCAAUAUAUACAGUUGAGAUUUAAUUUUGGUUCAUACAAUGACUGAAGUAAUUGCGCCAAACUUUCAAUCCAAUAUUACGAGAUUAACUCGUGAGGAAGAGGAAGUUAAUCAAGCAGUCGACAAGCUUCGUGAAUUGUGUUUACAAGAAAUUGCCGUCAAUGGCCACCUGUAUGAUCCUCGAGAUGCUAAAAUCAUUCGUUCCGAUAAAAAAAUGUCAAUGAUUACCUAUUUAGAGUCACAUUCAUGGAGUAUUCAAGAUUCAUUUGAAGCACUCAAAAAUCACUGCCGAUGGCGCAAGGAAAAAUCGUUAUGUGAACUUAAAGCUUCAUCAUUCCCUCGUGAACUUCAUCUACACGGAAUGUUUCAUCCCUAUGGUUAUGAUAAACUUGGCCAUCCUUUAUUAUUCAUUAGACUAUCUACACAAACUGGACCUCGAGAACUAAAUGAAUUGGUUUUACAGCACUUCAUUUGGGUCGGUGAAUCAAUGAGAGAUAAAGUGAUUGAGAGUGAUAAACGAUUCGCUUUAAUCUACGAUUGUCGUAAUCCAUCUGUUGACAUUCGUUUAAUCAAAGAUAUUCUGACAAUCUACUCAACACGUUAUCCUCUCUCACUUGCUUGGGUCGCUUUCAUCGAGAUGACAACAUCAUUCCGUUUAAUGUUUCAUGUGAUCAAAUUUUUCUUCCCUAAAUACAUUCGUAAUCAAAUGAUGUCCAUUGACAGAUUUGCUCUUCGAGAAUUGGUUGAUGAAGAUAAUAUUCCAACCUAUCUUGGCGGUAAUUCCACCGGAAUGGAUCAAUGUGAAUUAGACAAUUGUCCUACCUUCCAAGAAUAUUCACAAACAGCUGGAUUAUCAAAUGAACUUAUAACAAAAGCAACCAAGCACUUUCAACAAUUUGAAAGCUGAUCGGUAAUAAAGUCUCAUCUUUCAAACCAUUUCUCAUCUCAAUCAACAAAUAUUACUGUUAAAUCAAAACAACACAAUAACAAAAUCAUAUUCACCUUUCAUUAUUUCCUUAUGACCAAUAUUAAAUUUAAUCAACAUUAAAAUAACUUAACAAUCAUUUGCUUCUUUGCGUAACAUUUAAAAUGUUUCAUUUGACUCAGCUAAGUUCAACAAACUUUACUCAUGAUUGAGAUAGUCAUUAAAAUUAUUUUCAACCUGGUCAAGUUCAAAUAUUUAACUCGAAACGUGCAAGCUGUUGAAAACAAGAUGACGGUGUGAAUGAGUUGAUUGUUGUCAGUAUUUCGUAUCAUUAUUGCACUUUCACAGUCAUUCGUGUUUACCCUUUAGCUAAUUGUAAAUUUCAAUAAUCUAAGGACAAAUCACAAUGAAUAUUAGUCAAUACAAGGUAAAUAAUCAAGGGAAGGUUAUUACACUUUCUUUCAAUGAAACAAUUAAUAAAUAUUGAAUGGCAAUCAAUGAUGAAAAGGUUGACAUUUUGUAUAAUUUAUUUGCUAGAUGUCACCACAAUCAGAGCACUUGUUUUAAAAAUCAAACAUUGAAUUUGAAAGUUGAAUAAAACUGAAAGUAACUUCCAAUGAAUUAAUGAAAAUUUCACCAAAAUAAUAUUUAACUGAAUGAAUUAAUCUUUUCUAUUGUGUCUGAGAAGUCAAAAGAGGACAAAUAUAAAGAAACAUUGAAUCUAUUUUAUGAAUGUAUUGUAAUUGUUGCGAAGGAACAAUAUAAACUGAAGACACAUCCUGAACAAAUUAACUAACUUUUAUGAAUAACAUUUACUCGGUCUUUGCCCUUGAGUAAAAACUGAGAGCGAAAGAUGGAAUCUAUCAUGUCCGUUAUGGUUAAUCAUGUGAUUAUAUUAUUUGGUUCACUCUUAAUUUACUCUAAUAUAUUCUUAAAUAAAGGAACUGGUUUUACAACUAAAUAAUGGCUAGAAGAUGGUUUGUAAACCAGUACCAGUUAAGAAUAACCAGAACUCUAAAUAUAUGAAACAGAAAACGGUCAAGUUAAAAGUGAAAUAGGGUCAAAAAAGAGAAAACUCAAUUCCACUCUCAUCUUUAACGGUGAAACUUCGGAAUGGAAACGACUGAUAACAUGAUGAAGAUCAAGGGCAAGGUCUUUUUUAAGAAACUCCGUCAUAGCCAUCAUCAUAAUUACUAUCAAUAAGAGGUUGGACGGACCCAUUUAAAUUAUUGUAAAGGAUGGACAAAAACUAUUUGUAUACUCACGGAACAUGAACUGGUGUGUGAACCGGCAUCGGUACUGGUUGUGGAAUGGGUACAUGAUGGUGUUUUGAAUGAACAAUUACUGUGGAAAAGAAAAGAUGGCCAUUUAGUCAAAUAUUGAUUAUUGAAAUGAAGGAAAGGAUUUAAUUUCGAUCAAUUACUUGGUGGUUGUUCCCAUUCAAUUGGUAAAGGCAAUGGCAAAGGAAUGGGGAAUGGAAGUAUUCCUUUCUUUGGUUUCAGAUAUUUAACAAGUAAUCCAGCUCCAACUAAACCUUUGAGCAGAAUCUUCUUCUUCAGUCUACUGGCAACAACGUAAUCAUGAUAAAAUGUGGAAGCAAUCAAACAUGCAAAGAUUAUGUUUAAAAUUUGACGAGUCAUAUUUCUGGACAAAUGAACCUGGACAAGUAAGAUGAGAAAGAUUCUGGUCACUUUGAGUAUAAUCCAAGCUUUAGUUGGCUUACCUUUGGUCAACGUAAUUAUGGUUGGUUAAAAUCCUGUGAAAUCACUGUAAACACUAAACUUGGCACUGAUCUAAAAAUGAGAGUUUUUUUGUAAAUGAUGGACACUAACGAACGAAUAACGGAAUAAUCUUUGGCGCUGCUUUUUAUAUAAAGGGAUGAUCAAAGUCCAGUUGAAUUUAGGCCAAAAUGAAAUGCGAAUUCAUACGGAGCAUCCCUAAUCGCAGGUCAUUUCUUACUCUUGAUUUUGAAGAUGUUCCUCCGCCUUCCCUGACUCCCUUUAAGGCCCUUUCUUCAUGAUCAUCUUUAACCUCAUCAUUAUUCAAUGGCUCAUCCUCAUCUUUAUCUUUGUCUUCAUCAUCUUCUUUUAGUUACCUCAGUACUACACCUUCAGGAUACAUCUUUUAAUCGCCAAUCUAAAUUUAACCGGGAAUUUUUUCUUACUGUUUCCACCGUCAACUUAAAUCAUAAUUUCAUCAUCUCAUUAGGGGACUUUCUCAGAACUUGUUCAUCGAAAACAUGAAAAAUUAAUCCAUCUCUUCAAAAUUCACCAACAAUCCGCUAUUUUCAGGGUAAAUUUCCGAUGGACGAAAGAGUAAUCUAAGAUUAAGGAUAUCCCUUAAGAUUACAGUAAUUGUAAUUCAGUUUUGGUUUUCCUUGUUCCUCGUUUUAUUUUUGUUCAUAUUGCCAGCUAUAAGUAUUUCCUUUAUUAAUUGCUGUCUCUGAAUAUAAAUUUCUAGCCGUAGACUUUGCUCUGUAUUGAACAGUAUUGAAUUAUUGCAUAUUAUUGGUAUAAUCAAUAUUGAUUAGAAAGUAAUGUUUGAAGUAAAAUAAAUAAAAAUAUUU